rnacentral:rRNA from 1 species
UACGGAGGGUGCAAGCGUUAUCCGGAUUCACUGGGUUUAAAGGGUGCGUAGGAGGGCAGGUAAGUCAGUGGUGAAAUCUCCAAGCUUAACUUGGAAACUGCCGUUGAUACUAUCUGUCUUGAAUACCGUGGAGGUGAGCGGAAUAUGUCAUGUAGCGGUGAAAUGCUUAGAUAUGACAUAGAACACCAAAUUGCGAAGGCAGCUCGCUACACGAAUAUUGACUCUGAGGCACGAAAGCGUGGGGAUCAAACAGG